rnacentral:rRNA from 1 species
GAUGAACGCUGACAGAAUGCUUAACACAUGCAAGUCAACUUGAACUUCGGUUUGGGUGGCGGACGGGUGAGUAACGCGUAAAGAACUUGCCUCACAGAUAGGGACAACAUUUGGAAACGAAUGCUAAUACCUGAUAUUAUGAUUAUAUGGCAUCGUAUAAUUAUGAAAGCUAUAUGCGCUGUGAGAGAGCUUUGCGUCCCAUUAGCUAGUUGGAGAGGUAACGGCUCACCAAGGCGAUGAUGGGUAGCCGGCCUGAGAGGGUGAUCGGCCACAAGGGGACUGAGACACGGCCCUUACUCCUACGGGAGGCAGCAGUGGGGAAUAUUGGACAAUGGACCAAGAGUCUGAUCCAGCAAUUCUGUGUGCACGAUGAAGUUUUUCGGAAUGUAAAGUGCUUUCAGUUGGGAAGAAAAAAAUGACGGUACCAACGGAAGAAGUGACGGCUAAAUACGUG